CCUACGGGAGGCUGCAGUGGGGAAUAUUGCACAAUGGGCGCAAGCCUGAUGCAGCCAUGCCGCGUGUGUGAAGAAGGCCUUCGGGUUGUAAAGCACUUUCAGCGGGGAGGAAGGCGUUAAGGUUAAUAACCUUGGCGAUUGACGUUACCCGCAGAAGAAGCACCGGCUAACUCCGUGCCAGCAGCCGCGGUAAUACGGAGGGUGCAAGCGUUAAUCGGAAUUACUGGGCGUAGAGCGCACGCAGGCGGUCUGUCAAGUCGGAUGUGAAAUCCCCGGGCUCAACCUGGGAACUGCAUUCGAAACUGGCAGGCUAGAGUCUUGUAGAGGGGGGUAGAAUUCCAGGUGUAGCGGUGAAAUGCGUAGAGAUCUGGAGGAAUACCGGUGGCGAAGGCGGCCCCCUGGACAAAGACUGACGCUCAGGUGCGAAAGCGUGGGGAGCAAACAGGAUUAGAUACCCGUGUAGUC
rnacentral:rRNA from 1 species